CAGCAAUGUUUUGAAAGUAGCAAAUGGAUAAACAAUUCUUUGGAGAUACCAAGUUUUUAAGUGGUUUUACAAAUACAAUUUUAUUGACGGUAGCCUAUCUCCUACUAGACAGGACAGGCUGUGAGGCAGGGAAGCUCAGAUGUGAGUGGAGGCCAGAGCAGAGGAAGUGAAGGAGAAGCAGGAUAGGAGCAAAGUGCAGUUGUUGCUGCACCAGGAGGACCAGAAAGAGUAGGGCCAAUUAGAGCAACAGUCCCUACAGCACAGAGUACUCAUAGGCAAUCUGGUUUUGAUCCGGGGUGGAUGGAGAACCCAAGAUUCAAGCCUUGGCUGUACUAUACAGCCGACCAUGGUGAGUACCAAAUCUAACAUAUGGAGCUGUUUCUUGCUCUCUCAGAUGCUUUAACUUAACAAUCAUAGUUCUUCAACUUCUUGAAGAAAAAAAACAAACCAUCAAAAAUCUUGUCCCCAUAGGAAUGUACUGCCGAUUGUGCCGUCAACAAAAACAAGCACCGAAACGGGGGCCGUCCACACGGCCAUUUAUUGAGGUUGGGUGCCAGCUUUUCCGAAGUGACUACCUGGACAAGCACGCUUCCACUCAACACCAUCAAAACAGUGUGAAGGCACACGCUGCACUGAUUCAAGGGUCCUCAGUGCUGGUUGCCUUUGAACCUGUUAUCAUCUUUGAACAUGAGGCCGUGAUUGGUGGCUUCAAGUGCCUCUACCACCUCACAAGAAAGGAACAGGCUCAUCAUACAAAUUACGCUGACCUCCUGGAGCUCGCUGAACUACUUGGCUGCCAUUAUUUUGAAAAGUUAAAGAUUGGGAAGAAGACCAAUUACACGUCACACAGAAUCGUAGAUGAGAUGCUAACAAUCCUGAUCACCGUUGUUGAAGAGCCAAUCCUCAAAUCUAUCAGUGCCUCUGUGGCAAUUGGGCUGGAGGUGGACGAGACCACGGAUGUUUCUGUUAAGAAGCAGCUUGAUGUUCACGUUAGAUACAUGGACAAGGAGGGACUGCUUUACAGCCAAUUUCUGGACCUGGUGACAGUCAGCGAUGGCAGAGCUGACACCAUCGUCAAAGCCAUAAGGGAGGUCCUCACCAAAAAAAACAUUCCCACCCAGAAGAUCUACGGCCUGGGGACAGAUGGAGCAGCUGUCAUGACUGGUAUUCAAAUUACCAACAAAAACAAGGUUGAUAUUUACUGCUUAAAAAAUAAAUCAUGAUAUCAUUAUAUUUUUUUGAUAUCAUGAUUCAAAAAAAUCAUAAUCAUGAUAUCAUGAUGGGAGAUUGAAUGGGGUGGCCAAGCAGCUACAGGACACCUUCCCAUGGUUGGUGUCAGUUGCGUGUGCCGCACACCGCCUCGCCCUGUGCUGUAAGGACGCCUCAACAGGGGUGGCUUAUAUUGGCUCCUUCAGGGACCUUUUACAGCAGCUACACCUGUACUUCAGAAACAGUGCUAAUAGCACAGCUGUACUCCAGGCUGCAUCAGAGUGCUUGGGCCUGGAUAACCUGAAAGUGAAGGAAGUGAAGGACACACGCUGGUUGUCGCAGGCCAUGGCCAUUUCCAACAUGCAGCGGAACCUGAGUGCUGUCCUGGCGGCCUUGGCUGAGGAGACUGAGCUCAAAAAAUGCCCAACAGCCAAGGGGCUGUACAGCUUCCUGGCCACCUACCGCUUUGUGGCAUCGGUGUACCUGCAUGCAAAUGUGCCGCCACAUCUCAGCAAGCAUUCAAAGGUGUUCCAGAAGGAAAAUGUGAACUUCCUGAUUCUGAAAGUUCAGGUCCCUGUGACAAUGGCUUGCCUCAGAGCAAUUAAGGAUGCUGGAGACCAUCAGCCACAUGGGUCUUUCCUGUCAAGGCUCCACCCAGACCUGGACAACCCUGCGGGACUCGGGGCUUAUAGUAUUGUCCAUGAGGAGGAGAGGAACAAGAGGGGUUAACGUCAAGAGGGACUGACCAGGGACGAGCUCUGGGCCAGGUUCAGGAGGCAGGUAUUGUUUUAGAUGCCUGUUAAGUGGUUUGUAUGUGGAACGAAAAGUUUCAGUUCAAUAAUUUGCUACUGCUAUGGUUGGUGAUGGAUCAUAUAUUGAUGGCCUACUAGAGAGCCUGGAGAGGAGGUUCCAGAACCUGGACCUUUUAGGGGCCUUCAAGUGUAAACUGUGAAAGGGAUUAUUUUACCGCAGAUGUCCCAGAAAGAUCAAACCAAGCAAGAGCUAGACAGUACCACCAUGGCUGUCUUCGUCUUCAGAGAGAACUCAAGUCUUCUACAACAGCCCAAAGAGAUCGGGAUCAUCAUUGAUGGUGUAGAAGUCCUCACUGAGUUGCCUUCCAUGGCAGCUGGAGUGGUAAUGCUCUUUAGACUCUAUUAUGCUCCUAACAUGGAAUAUCUCCAGGGGUUCAGGUUCACCCUUGAGGCUCUUCAGAAGAUCCUGAUGGAGCUUGGUUCCAACAAGAUGAGCUCCAAGAUUCGCAAACUGAAUGGUGAACUCCACACUACACAGUAGUAUGUGUGCCAUGUGUACACAUGCUUGUGUGUUUUGCGGCAUGCACAGUAUGUGCACCUGUGCUUGUGUAUCUGUGUAUUAAGCUGCUAGCCAGCACUUUACGAGGGGGAGAACCUCAGCGGCACUUAGUUGCACCUAGCCACGGGUGCUGUAGCCAUUUAAGACUAUGUUAUAUUGUUGGGCUUUGAGUGAAUGUUUUGAAUUUAGUCGUUUGAGGGUCAACACUGCUUCCAGAAAGCAAUUUUUAAUUGAGAUUUGAUAGAGCCUGUGUAGAGGUCUACUACCAUAUGUGUGUUUGUCCUGUUCAUUUGCUUGGUAGGCAAUCUAUUUUUUACUUGACUUUCAUUUCUUAAAGAUCAUUACAGUUUAUAGCUGUGCUGAAAACAUUGCAGCAGAUUCAGAUGCCUUCUUGAUAAAGACUGCCCUUUUAAGGGUAGUCUUUAUCAAGACAUCUGGACAGGGAGAUUCCAGUCGCCAGAGGGUGAUAAAGCAGUAUACCAGUAUGUUGGUUUUUAGAAAACAUAGCAUCCUGCCCUCAUGGUCCUGUCCUGCUCCCUCUAUCCUCUUCUCUCCCGCCUCUCAUCCUCUCCAUCCUUUCCUCUGUUCCCCUCUCCAUCCUUCUCCUCCCCUCUUCAGCCUUUCCCCUCCAUUCUCCCCCCCUCUCCUCCAUCCUCUCCUCCCCUCUCCAGCCUUUCUCCUAUUCUCUCCACCAUCUCCUCCCCUCUCAUCUGCUCCUUUCUCCUCCUUUCCAUUCUCCUCCUCACCUCCUCUCUCCUCCUCUCAUGUUAAAUAUGUUACGGUU
ensembl:lncRNA